UACAGAGGGGGCGAGCGUUGUUCGGAAUUACUGGGCGUAAAGGGCGCGUAGGCGGCCUCUUAAGUCGAACGUGAAAUCCCCGGGCUCAACCCGGGAACUGCGUCCGAUACUGGGGGGCUUGAAUCCGGGAGAGGGAUGUGGAAUUCCAGGUGUAGCGGUGAAAUGCGUAGAUAUCUGGAGGAACACCGGUGGCGAAGGCGGCAUCCUGGACCGGUAUUGACGCUGAGGCGCGAAAGCUAGGGGAGCAACCGGGAUUAAGAA
rnacentral:rRNA from 1 species